UACACACUGUAAGAAGAGACAAAAAGAACAUUGUCAUUAAAAAAAGGAAAAUGAACAAUAGGGAACGAAGAAUCGUCUCUUUUGUCGUUUGUCUGAUUUCUACAUCAGUCAGUUUCUCAAACAAUAUAAAAUAAUUACUAUCGCUUGUUUAUAGAAACGUGUCAAUAUGUUAGAAGUUCAGCCAACUUUACCUUAUUUUCAUGGUUCAUUGUUUAACAUUAGUCAAACGCUUUCUGGGUUACUCUUUCGUUUUGUAUAGAGUUUUAAUUUCAAAGAUGCAAUGUCCCGUUCAGAAAUAGUUACAUAUAUGUGUAUGGCCUUCAUGUCAUAGAUAUUCAACAUAUUAUUCGGUCAUUAUAAAUAGCAAAGCUGAUAAACAAUAUGCAUACUCUUGUUUCAUACAGGACCAUACAACACUUAGUCUAUUUAUAAAUACAACCUUCAGUUUGUACCGGAACAAGAAAGAUGAUACGUUUAUAAAUAUAUUAAAACCUAUUUUGAUUUAUAGUAAUCUAGUCUUUCAUUUUUGCUAAUGUGCUUUGUCUAUAUGCCUUUUAUGUUUGUCUGAUACAUAUUUGUUUGUUUUUAUGGUGAUUAAAGUUAUAACACAAUUUCGACUGCUGUACCCCUUUUUUGAUAUUUUUACCUAUUAUGUCUGUUUUU
rnacentral:lncRNA from 1 species